rnacentral:rRNA from 2 species
CUACACAUGCAGUCGAGCGGAUGAGUGGAGCUUGCUCCAUGAUUCAGCGGCGGACGGGUGAGUAAUGCCUAGGAAUCUGCCUGGUAGUGGGGGACAACGUUUCGAAAGGAACGCUAAUACCGCAUACGUCCUACGGGAGAAAGUGGGGGAUCUUCGGACCUCACGCUAUCAGAUGAGCCUAGGUCGGAUUAGCUAGUUGGUGAGGUAAAGGCUCACCAAGGCGACGAUCCGUAACUGGUCUGAGAGGAUGAUCAGUCACACUGGAACUGAGACACGGUCCAGACUCCUACGGGAGGCAGCAGUGGGGAAUAUUGGACAAUGGGCGAAAGCCUGAUCCAGCCAUGCCGCGUGUGUGAAGAAGGUCUUCGGAUUGUAAAGCACUUUAAGUUGGGAGGAAGGGCAGUAAGUUAAUACCUUGCUGUUUUGACGUUACCAACAGAAUAAGCACCGGCUAACUUCGUGCCAGCAGCCGCGGUAAUACGAA